UCCAGACUCCUACGGGAGGCAGCAGUGGGGGAUAUUGCACAAUGGGGGGAACCCUGAUGCAGCGACGCCGCGUGGGUGAAGGAGCGUUUCGGCGCGUAAAGCCCUCUCGGCAGGGAAGAAGGAGGACGGUACCUGACUAAGAAGCCCCGGCUAACUACGUGCCAGCAGCCGCGGUAAUACGUAGGGGGCAAGCGUUAUCCGGAUUUACUGGGUGUAAAGGGGGCGCAGACGGCAGCGCAAGCCAGGAGUGAAAGCCCGGGGCCCAACCCCGGGACUGCUCUUGGAACUGCGCGGCUGGAGUGCAGGAGGGGCAGGCGGAAUUCCUGGUGUAGCGGUGAAAUGCGUAGAUAUCAGGAGGAACACCGGUGGCGAAGGCGGCCUGCUGGACUGCGACUGACGUUGAGGCCCGAAAGCGUGGGGAGCAAACAGGAUUAGAUACCCCUGUAAU
rnacentral:rRNA from 1 species